UGUGAUUUCAAAUGUCGUUUGGACUACAGUCAUUAAGCAACCGAUGAGAAAUAAAAAUUUAAGUGGAUAUUUCUGAGUGUUCAAUGCAAUUUUGUUGCAAAUGAGGUCACUAGAUGCUUUGGAGAAGCAGAUGACUCAAAUGAAGACGUAAGUCCACUAGAGCAAGGAUACCUGGGGGUAGAGAAUCACUUUGUGGAAACAGAUCAUUGAAAUAGUUUAGAGCGAAGAGAAGCCAAGAAUUCACUUGGGGCUAUCUUUAGGCAAAUGAAGUAUUCUCCUUUUAUGGAUAAUAUCCAGGUCUAAGGAUAUUGAAUAAUUUACACGAGAUCAUAUGCCGAUAAAGGAUGGAGGGGACACUGGAACCUAGGUCCCCGGCAUUCAACAAUGUCUUCAGAGCAGGAUGCUAGAAAAACCAGAGAACUCUUAAGAAGCAAGAGAGAGGGGCCAAUAGAAAGAAGAGGAUAGUGGAGGGGAAAUUCACCAAAAGAAAUAUAACAGAAGGUUUAUCAUGGAUAUCCUUGGUCUGUAUUAGUUUGCAGAAAACCUAAGAGGUAAUUCCCACAAAAUUAAAGGAAAUUCAAAUAUUAGAUAGAUGAAGAAGUCCUUCUAAUUUUAAAUACCAGUAACUCCUGAGUUAGCUGACUAGAUUGAAUACAAGAAUCCAGGCAUAGUAAAUAGAUAUGCUUAUGAUAUCCCCCCCAUGCUCAAUGGUCUCCAGGUCACAAUCUUUCACCUGAUACAGACUUGGGGUGCAUACCGCACUGCACAUUUGCAUGCCAGACUGCAAUGCACCAAGCAUGGAUGGGAAGCCUUGCCAGAGGAGAAAUUAUUGACAGCGUUUUUUAUAAGAUUUUGCCAUGAAAAUUGGAAACAAUGUUAGGAAAAAAGAUGAUCAGAAACGUUAGGUAUGUAGUGCAUAAAGGAGAGAUCACCCGUUUUUCUGUCUUCCAAGCGAUAACAGCAUCAUAGAGAGAGGACAAAAUUCAACACUGCAUAAGCAUUAACAUGAUAGACCCCAUACCCCAAAGCUAUCCUCUCGGAUCUCACCCACUUCUCAUCGUAGAACAGGGAUAGCAAGGAGACAGAAGAAGAAGGAAAGUCUAAGGUAGAUGAGUAGAUAGGUAGACGUAUGCGUAGAGGAAGGAUACUCAAAAGUCAAAGAAUUGUGCUAUGGAUGCCCUUAAUUCGCUAAGAAUGUGAUUUGCUAAGAAUAUCCACAGGCUAAACAAAGCACUGAUUAAAAUAUUUAGACUAAACUAUGGUUACUCUACAAAGUCAUUCUCAACCUUUAAAUUGGGAAAACUACGCUCACUAAUCUUUUCU
ensembl:lncRNA